GUAAGCUCUGGGAGUUGGUGAUGGACAGGGAAGCCUGGUAUGCUGCAGUCCGUGGGAUCGCAAAGAGUCGGACAUGGCUGAGUGACUGAACUGAACUGAACUCUUCAGGCCAGCUGCCAUCACUGCGAAAUGGUAGAAAGAGAGGCUGAGAAAAAUCAAGUGACUCUGGCCAUCAUUAUCCUGCAGGUCAGAUAGCUCCUUUAAGUCUCAAUUUCUUUAUCUGAAAAAUGAGAAUCACGUUUAUCCACUCUGCCUGCCAGGACUCUGGUAAGAAUGUAGGUAGAUGAACAGUUAGGAUGCCCAAGAACAAUGACUGUUUUGGACAGUAUUUGGACCCACCAGUCUCACUUGUCAUAGAGUAACCCUGUGAAGCAGAUUCUAUUUUUGUGCCCUGUUUUUCUAGGUGAGGAAAUUGACUUGGAGAGGUAAGGUCACUUGUUCAAGGUCACAGAUAGGAAGUGGCAAAGUUGGAUUCAAGCCCAGGUCUCCCAGUUACCAACACUAUGGGUCUUUACACUGCAGCAUUCUGAUGUGUGGCACAGGCCUGAGCAGGAAGAGGACCAGGAGGGCUCUGGGAGACUGAGGCCCAUUGCACCCUUGGGUCUGCUGUUGUUUUUCCCAGGCACCACCAUCCGUGGGGAGUGGCUGCCCUCUGGUGUUCGAAAUGUGACUUGUCCCGACAAGGAGGAGAGUUGGCAACUUGCCUGUCUCAGAAGUGGGGUGGGAUGAGCUUGGAACAACCGCAACUCGUCCUUUCAGAGUUUGGAGGUUCAGGGAAAGUUAGUGCACACUCAGUCUCACUGAAUGCGAGGCUGUUCCACUGAGGCCACUGGGUGGAAGCUUCGUUGAUUUCUGCCUGCAUCUGCCUCUCAUCUGGUGUCAUUUUGCAGCAUAGGAUUAUCAGAGAGAAGACUUUGAAACUGAAUAUGAAAUACCAUCUCUGGAACAUCAACAGAGAAUAACUACCCCUGAAGAGGACAACAUAAGGCCAUUUGCAAGUCAUGAAUGGUCCUGUGUGGAGCUGUGUUGAACAUCUGGAAGUUUAUGGUUCAUGUACUACUGCAGUCUGGC